AGCAGAGGGGUUGAGACUCGAUGAUCUUUGAGGUCCUUUUCAACCCAGGCCAUUCUAUGAUUCUAUGAUCCUAAUUUGUCCAUCUGUUUUUUCUGGCUUCUAAUGACAUAGACUUUCUCUGAGGCAGGGGUCAAACCCUGGAAGAUAAAAUGAUGAACUGAGUUCUGCAGAAAAAUGCGAAGAGGUGUAUUUUUAGAAUUAUAAUUGUCUCACUUACUCAUCUGUAAAACAAGCUUUUACUUGCCUCUGCUCUUUCUGUGGGCAGUGACUGAUGAUGGUCCUGGCAUGCUAAGAUGGAUGUUCCAAAUGCAAAGCAUGAUCAAACCUCACUUACUGUGUUCAUUGCUCUGGAGGAAGCGCCAUUCCUGGUAGCUGUGUAUACAGGAAUUGUAUAUAUAUAUAUAUUUGUACAUAUGGCAUAUUGAAACAGAAUACACCAAAUUUCAUUUUAUGCUGCCACUAGUUAGUGUGUGAGAGCUUGAAAGGACACCAGCAGCCUAUAUUCCUUAAGACCCAAGAGCCAUGGGAAAAGAUCCAUUUUUUUAUAUUGUACUAAUUUCAAAAAUGCUGGGUUUUAGUGCAGCAAAGUAAAAAAAAAAAAAAAAAAAGGCAAAAAGGAAAAAGGAAAGACAGAAAGACCUGUACAAUCAUUUGGAGUUUUUUUUUCUUUUCUGUUAGUGCUCUAUUCAGGAAAUGCGAUGUGACUAUAUAUGGGAUAGGAAUGAAACCACAUAUCACAACCCACUGUCAAGUUCAUGAGAUGGCCACAUUGAAAAAAUAGUGAAAAAUGUGUUCUUGCCUUCCUCACCCAUAGGAGUCCUGGUUGUGGCUUGCCAUUGUAGUGUGAAGAUUUGCAUUUUAAAGUUGGCGGUUUUCCUUUUUACUCUUCCGCUUCCUACCAGCUAAUUCGGCGUUGUGCUAAUUGUGAUUCUGGAAUGCAAAUAAACUCACCUGCUUGUUUUUCUUUCGAUUUCAGGUUUUCGAACUAUGGAAGCUCUCUGGAGGAGCUGCACCAUGCGCUGCCGACCCCAGAGUGGGGAGGGAGGAGGAGCUGCGGUGUACCUUUCUCAACAGGUUACUGUGUGUCAGUUAUAUGUCAGCUGUUGGUGGCUCAUAAUAUGUCUUCUGAGAAGAGCAGGAGGUUUAUUUGAGACCCUGAAUGGUACUGUCCUCCUAGGCAAGUGAUUUGCCAAUGCACAACUGCAUAUAGGUGUUCUUUCUCCACACCUAUUUAUUCAAAUGGUAAGAAGUAAUUGCAAUUAUAAUUGUAGUUGUUAAGGCGAUUGACGUGACAUUGCUUAGCAGUUUUAUUAAUACUCACACAGUGGGAAGUUGUGUUAGGCUUCUUAAAUCUCUACUAAUGAAGCAUAUCCUCAAGCCUUCCACCAUCUAGGAAAGGGGAAACCUGGCAUCCACUCAGACUCUGUUAAUAU
rnacentral:lncRNA from 1 species